GACGAACGCUGGCGGCGUGCUUAACACAUGCAAGUCGAACGCUGAAGCUCAGCUUUUGUUGGGUGGAUGAGUGGCGAACGGGUGAGUAACACGUGAGUAACCUGCCCCCUUCUUUGGGAUAACGCCCGGAAACGGGUGCUAAUACUGGAUAUUCACUGGUCUUCGCAUGGGGGUUGGUGGAAAGGGUUUUUCUGGUGGGGGAUGGGCUCGCGUCCUAUCAGCUUGUUGGUGGGGUGAUGGCCUACCAAGUCUUUGACGGGUAGCCGGCCUGAGAGGGUGACCGGUAACAUUGGGACUGAGAUAAGGCCCAGACUCCGACGGGGGGCAGCAGUGGGGAAUAUUGGACAAUGGGUGAAAGACUGAUGCAGCGACGCCGCGUGAGGGAUGGAGGCCUUCGGGUUGUGAACCUCUUUCGAUAAUGGUCAAGCCGCAACAAUGGUUGUGGUGAGGGUAGUGGGUAAAGAAGCGCCGGCUAACUACGUG
rnacentral:rRNA from 1 species